rnacentral:rRNA from 1 species
AUUGAACGCUGGCGGCAGGCCUAACACAUGCAAGUCGAACGGUAACAGGAAACAGCUUGCUGUUUCGCUGACGAGUGGCGGACGGGUGAGUAAUGUCUGGGAAACUGCCUGAUGGAGGGGGAUAACUACUGGAAACGGUAGCUAAUACCGCAUAACGUCGCAAGACCAAAGAGGGGGACCUUCGGGCCUCUUGCCAUCGGAUGUGCCCAGAUGGGAUUAGCUAGUAGGUGGGGUAACGGCUCACCUAGGCGACGAUCCCUAGCUGGUCUGAGAGGAUGGCCAGCCACACUGGAGCUGGGACACGGCCCAGACUCCUACGGGAGGCAGCAGUGGGGAAUAUCGCACAAUGGGCGCAAGCCUGAUGCAGCCAUGUCGCGUGUAUGAAGAAGGCCUUCGGGUUGUAAAGUACUUUCAGCGGGGAGGAAGGGAGUAAAGUUAAUACCUUUGCUCAUUGACGUUACCCGCAGAAGAAGCACCGGCUAACUCCGUGCCAGCCGCCGCGGUAA